CUACCACAUAAUAAAAUAUAUUCUAAAGCAAAAAAUAAUAAAUUCACAGAUAAUAAAGUAGAACAUUGAACUGAAAUAGAUAUGGAAUCGAAUGGAAUUUACUUCCUGAUAGGUCAUAAAUUUGAAAAUGUUUAACUUCUCAGCUUGCUGCCAGGAGGUGGCAUUGAUGAUCAAUAAUACAUUGAGACUUGAAGGUUUCAAAUAAAUGGACUAAUAGCCUCUAGAGACCUAAGUCAUUCAUAGGUAACAACUUCCCUGUUUAUACAAAGCAUUCAUAUAUUAAAACAGAUUUGGGGAUUUCCAGUUGUGGCUCAGUGGAAAUGAAUCUAGUCUAGUAUCCAUGAGGAUUCAGGUUCAAUCCCUGGCUUUGCUCAGUGGGUCAGAGAUCUGGUAUUGCCAUGAGCUGUGAUGUAGGUCACAGAUGUAUCUUGGCCCUGACAUUGCUGUGGCUGUUGUGUAGACUGGAAGCUGCAGCUCUGAUUCAACACCUAGCCUGGGAUGCAGGUGUUGAUGUGGGUACAGCCCUUAAAAAAAAAAACAAAAAAAAAAAAAACAAAAAAAAAAAAGAUUUUGUAACAAAUCCAGUGAAGAGAUGAAUUACCUAACAAGUGUGUUAAUAGGUGUCUCAACACAGUGAACAUGCAAAGACAUGAAGAGAGAGAGAGAUGACUUGUCAUAAGUAAAAACUUUGUUCGUUUAUGGUUUGUUGACUUGGUGGAAUUGGUGAUUCUAAUGAGAAAUGAGUCACUGAAAUUGGCCUUCAGCGAAGUUGGCUAUAGAAAAAUCAAUGUAAGAAAGGAAACAUUUGGAAAACUUUGUUACUCAGACCCUUCUUAAAUGGUUUCCUUUAAGCAUUCAUGGCUUUGAAUAUUCAGUAGAAACUGAUUCAAUUUUGAAAGAGAUAAUAUUUAAGUAGAAUUCAACUACUUGUUCCAUAGAUUCCAAAGGGGCUGAGGUAUGCAUUGCACCUGUCUGUGCUCACUUGUUUUGGUUUGUUUUUUUUAAAUGAGAGUCUUUCAAAUGUACCAAUUCCUCUCUUUAUUGUUUUGCAACUGGUUAGAUUGUGCUUUUUUAAAAUUCAACAGUCCCUCAAAUAUUUGAUGUUCUCUUUUUGUACUUUCAUUCAUUGCUGGGAUAUUUUCCCUUCUCAGCAGACUUAGAAAAAUCUGGUAGGGACACAUUUGUCUGCCUGCAAUUCUUUAACAGUUACCUUCCAGUCCUCUGACAUUCUUCUGGUUGUACUGAAUACCUGUGCGUCAAAGAGAGCUCAUGACAAAAAAAGUAUAUAAAACAGAACUCAGAGUGAAAUAUUCUCUUUCCAAGACUGGGCCAUCCUCACUAUUUGCUGCUCAUUAGUGUCACUGUACUCUUCUCCUGUUUCUACCUGUCUGGAAUUCUAACAUCCUCCUGCUCUAAGCUAACACCUUCCUGAUCUAAGCUAACUUGACGGAACCCCGUCUUUUCCCUUUAAACCAAGGGAAAUAAUUAGAAAUCAAUGUAAUCUUCAGCCCCUCCACUCCCAGAACACAUGGUCUGGCUUCUGGACUUGUCUUGGUCUAAUCCCAUUGCCAACUAUUGUUUAAAACAAACAAACAAAAAACUAUUACAUCUAUUAAAGUCUCAGAAGCAUAUUUUGUACCAAGCAUCAUGCUUUCUCAACAAUAGCUCAUUUAGACCAUAUAUUAACCUUGAAAUAUAGGUUGUAUAUAUCUACAUAGAAGAGAAAUAUAUUACAGAGUUUCAAUAACAAGCUUUUAGACAUAUGUAAAUGAUGGAACAAGAGUGUUGUCCAUGUGUUCUGAUUUCAAUACUAUUCUCAAUUUGCCACAUCUUUAGACUAGCAUAACAUAAAAACUCAUCUGUUUGUUCAUGGGCCAAAAGGGGAUGGCACAUCCCUAAAUUGUGUUGGCCUCAAAUCACUAGGGUUCCAAACAAAAUCAGUCAACAAAUUAAUGGUAUGAGCAAAUUUGAUAUGGAAUUUAUGGUUUUAUGUUGAGCAUUAAGCAUUUCAACUAAGUGAACAAGAAAUUAAAAACUAAAAUGUAUAUACAUGCACAUAUACAUAUAAACAUAUAUAUAUAUGAAAGUAUACAAUUUAGAGCCAAUAUAGAAACACCUGUUUAUUCAUGGGCUUAUAAUUUAUUGGUCUAUCUCAACAGAUAAUUUAAGAACAUCCUACACAAUCUUAUAAAGCAAUGCAAGGAAAUUAACCAAUGACAAAAAAAAACUUGGAAGAAAAAAAUAUAUAGUUUUCUAUUCAUUGAAUUACCAUUAAUCAUUCCAACAUGAAAGUCAUCUUUAUAAAAACUUAGAAUUAGUAUGCAUCUAAUUAAAGAGGCUCUUUGGAAAAAGUAAAUAAUGUCAUAAAUAUAAAUGAAAUUGCUUUUACCCCUCCAAUGACAGAUAAUAGAAGUUGACCAUUUUAUGACAUUUAUCUGAGCCUAUAAAUUCUUACUGAAUAUCAUUAUGUUGGCAGAAAUAAUAUCUGAGAGGGUAUCCUUUUCCAUUGAUUUUGUGUCUCUUUUUAUUUUUCAUAUUUUCCAUCUUGGCCAAGCUGCGUUGUGUAAUUGUUCCUGCCUUCCAAUAACCUGAAAAUUAUUAUUAAUGAUCUUGACAUUCACAAUAUUUUUACCUACUACAUCAUUAGAGACAAAGAUGGAUAUGUUAAUAUUGUCAUCAAUUUCUUAAGGAGAUUCCAUCUGGCUGUGGUAAUUCAGACAAUGUUAGAAAAGAGUUUGUGCUUUUGGAAAUUACAUGGAAUUCAAGCACUUUCUUUCCCAAUGCAAAACUACAUGUAUGGCCCUUAAGAAGUCUUCACUUGCUGCUAUAUUAAAAUAUAUCUUGCUUCUUAGAACAAUAUCUGCUUGCUAAAAAUUUGAUCCUCUGUGCUAAAAUUACAGUUUUUACUCAUGUAAAUUUUCCCCUAUUUCAUGUUCAGCUCUGUAUUUGUAACUUUAAUGCCAUGUAGUCGUGAUUGCCAAGUGAUGGGUGAUCAUAAAAUCUGCUCUGGCGUUAUAAAACCUGGCAAUACUAUGCAUGCUUUUUUUUAUUUCAGAAUUAUUUACCGAUGGAAUAAAACUACUUGGUAAUUUGUUUUCUGUUGCCGAUUCUUUCAAUGGACUCACCCAAUAUCAAUCUCUCUCUUAUCCUGAAAACUUCACUUAAG
rnacentral:lncRNA from 1 species